AGAGAAUUGACUGAGUGGUUUAAAGUGUCGGCCUUGAGUUCCGAUAUGGGAUUGCCCCAUCAUGGGUUCGAAUCCCAUAUUCUCUG
rnacentral:tRNA from 1 species